rnacentral:rRNA from 1 species
UACGUAGGAGGCGAGCGUUGUCCGGAUUUACUGGGCGUAAAGCGCGCGCAGGCGGCACUUCAAGUAAGGUGUGAAAUCUCCCUGCUCAACGGGGAGGGUGCACUUUAGACUGGGGAGCUAGAGGACGGUAGAGGGGGGUGGAAUUGCUGGUGUAGCGGUGAAAUGCGUAGAGAUCAGCAGGAACACCCGUGGCGAAGGCGGCCCCCUGGCCGUACCUGACGCUGAGGCGCGAAGGCUAGGGGAGCGAA